ACAUAAAAACACCCUCGAAAACCGUAGUAAUCUUCACUAAUGCAUGCUGAGAGUAGCCAAGAUAAACCGCUGGAAUGUUUGAGAAUAGCCUCCUCAACGAAGAUAUCACAGAAAACAAAUUUGAAGCGGGAGGGAACGGAGGGCUAGACGAGCGGGCGUGGCCAUUGCGAGGCUGCGCAGGAGAGCAGCGCGCGGAGAACACCUCAGCCAUUGCUCCGCCAACUUCCACGCCAGGCUGACCACCAUUCACAUUUUCCCAGCCAGGUCAGUCCUCUCGCCCUCCUCGCGCACCACAGCCGCCGAUAAGGCAGCAAGAAGGGUCCGUCUUCCCCCUGAGCAGUGAAAGUUCACGUGACGCGAGAGGAUGGGAGAGUAAGGGGGAAGAGGGAGCCGCGCCCCCCGCUCCCCCUGACCCACCGCCCUGACCACGAGACAAGAGGAACAGCGCCGCAGAGAGAGAGAAAAAAAAGAAAGAGAAAGAAAAUAAA